AGAGUUUGAUUCUGGCUCAAGAUGAACGCUGGCGGCGUGCUUAACACAUGCAAGUCGAACGAAGCACUCUUUUAGAUUUCCUUCGGGGAAGAAGAAAUUGUGACUGAGUGGCGGACGGGUGAGUAACGCGUGGGCAACCUGCCCCAUACAGGGGGAUAACAGCCGGAAACGGCUGCUAAAACCGCAUAAGCGCACAAGGGCCGCAUGGCCUGGUGUGAAAAACUCCGGUGGUAUGGGAUGGGCCCGCGUCUGAUUAGCUAGUUGGCGGGGGAGAGGCCCACCAAGGCGACGAUCAGUAGCCGACCUGAGAGGGUGGCCGGCCACAUUGGGACUGAGACACGGCCCAAACUCCUACGGGAGGCAGCAGUGGGGAAUAUUGCACAAUGGGGGAAACCCUGAUGCAGCGACGCCGCGUGAGCGAAGAAGUAUUUCGGUAUGUAAAGCUCUAUCAGCAGGGAAGAAAAAUGACGGUACCUGAGUAAGAAGCACCGGCUAAAUACGUGCCAGCAGCCGCGGUAAUACGUAUGGUGCAAGCGUUAUCCGGAUUUA
rnacentral:rRNA from 1 species